CCACCGCCCGUUGCGUCGCGCGAGGCACGCCCAGGACUCGUUGCCUUCAUGGCAAUGCCAUGCCCGCAGUCCGCGGAGCCCGAGUUCCACCAUGAACUGCCUCGACCACCCUCAUAAAAGGCCCGCCUCCCCGCGAUGCCACACGCGCCGCCUGGCCCCGCCGGACGGAGCACGCCGCCGUCGCCUGCCAUCGUCAACAACCAUUAGUCGUCCGCCGUCGCCGCUCGGACGUUUAGGAAUAACGCUAACACCGUCGUCGCUGGUUGACAAGGGCCACACCGUCGCGGGCCGAGCUCCACACGCUCCGGUUCAUCACCAACACCGUGGCUCCACUCCCGCCCCCCGACGGCCCUCCUGAAGAAAUUCAUCUCAGCGGCGGUCCAGAAUGAAGACUCCUCAUCCUCUGGGGGUGGAGGACUCGGGCGUGGAGUUUGUUAGCGGUGGAUUGAGUGGAGAGGUGAGCGCUAAUCACGGAAGAGAGGUUGCGGACACAGGGUGGAGUAUUAGAUCAAGGCUAGCGGUUGGAUUGAAUUUAAUGACCCUAAUCCUGCGGUGGUAAUGGGUUCGUGUAUAUUUAUGAGGUGCGUUUAAAGAAGUUUACGCUUGAUUGUUUAUUAGUAGUAGAGAUAAAAAUAUGCCUUGAUCACCAUGCUGAAAAUAAUACACCUUACAUAAAGGAACAGAGGGAAUAUAUCUUCUUGAUACCUUGUACGGUCAGAUGCUAAAAGUUGAGCACAAUAUUUCUCCUUUUUUUGCUAGGAUACACAGUAUAGUUUCCUUUUCUCUUUUGUGUUUGCUUGUCAGCCCUCUUUAUCCAAUCCAAACUCCUCUCUUAAUUUUUUUUCUUAUUUUUUCUCUCUUUUAGUUGGCUCUUGCCAACUUUUUAUUCUUGCAUCGUGUACGUGUCUGUUCAACAUACAUAGUUCAAGCGUGUAACGUAAUA